rnacentral:rRNA from 1 species
UCCUACGGGAGGCAGCAGUGGGGAAUAUUGCGCAAUGGGCGAAAGCCUGACGCAGCGACGCCGCGUGGGUGAUGAAGGCCUUCGGGUCGUAAAGCCCUGUCGGGAGGGACGAAACCUCGGCGACCUAAUACGUCGUCGACCUGACGGUACCUCCUAAGGAAGCACCGGCUAACUCCGUGCCAGCAGCCGCGGUAAUACGGAGGGUGCGAGCGUUGUUCGGAAUCACUGGGCGUAAAGCGCGUGUAGGCGGCCUGGUAAGUCUGAUGUGAAAGCCCGGGGCUUACCCCCGGAAGUGCAUUGGAAACUGCGAGGCUAGAGUACCGGAGAGGAAGGUGGAAUUCCUGGUGUAGCGGUGAAAUGCGUAGAUAUCAGGAGGAACACCGGUGGCGAAGGCGGCCUUCUGGACGGAUACUGACGCUGAGACGCGAAAGCGUGGGGAGCAAACAGGAUUAGAUACCCUGGUAGC